GACGAACGCUGGCGGCGUGCUUAACACAUGCAAGUCGAACGGGUCUGCCCUGUUUUUUGCGGGGUGGGUCAGUGGCGAACGGGUGAGUAACACGUGAGUAACCUGCCCCUCACUUCUGGAUAACCGCUUGAAAGGGUGGCUAAUACGGGGUGUUCUGGCUGUGCCGCAUGGUGUGGCUGGGAAAGAUUCACUUUUGUGGUGUUUUGGUGGGGGAUGGGCUCGCGGCCUAUCAGCUUGGUGGUGGGGUGAUGGCCUGCCAAGGCUUUGAGGGGUAGCCGGCAUGGGAGGGUGGGCGGUAACACUGGGACUGAGAUACGGCCCAGACUCCGGCGGGAGGCAGCAGUGGGGGGUAUUGCACAAUGGGAGGAAGCCUGAUGCAGCGACGUCGCGUGAGGGAUGGAGGCCUUCGGGUUGUGAACCUCUUUCGCCGGUGAAGAAGGUCCUGCUAUUUGUGGUGGGGUUGACGGUAGCCGGGUUAUGAAGCGCCGGCUAACUACGUG
rnacentral:rRNA from 1 species